rnacentral:rRNA from 1 species
UGGGGAAUCUUGCGCAAUGGCCGAAAGGCUGACGCAGCGACGCCGCGUGUGGGAGGACGCCUUUCGGGGUGUAAACCACUGUUGCCCGGGACGAACACGGCUAUUCGUAGCCGCUGACGGUACCGGGUGAGGAAGCACCGGCUAACUCCGUGCCAGCAGCCGCGGUAAUACGGAGGGUGCGAGCGUUGUCCGGAAUCAUUGGGCGUAAAGGGCGCGUAGGUGGCUCGGUCAGCGUGCGGUGAAAGCUCGGGGCUCAACCCCGAGUCGGCCGUGCGAACUGCUGGGCUUGAGCACUGUAGAGGCAGGCGGAAUUCCGGGUGUAGCGGUGGAAUGCGUAGAGAUCCGGAAGAACACCGGUGGCGAAGGCGGCCUGCUGGGCAGUGGCUGACACUGAGGCGCGACAGCGUGGGGAGCAAACAG